rnacentral:misc_RNA from 1 species
UUGUGUUAAUCGACCGAGUUGGUUGACAGUCAUCAAUAAAAGCGAAGAUGCAGAACGACGCUGGUGAAUUCGUGGACCUGUACGUCCCUCGUAAAUGCUCUGCUAGCAACAGAAUCAUUGGUGCCAAGGACCAUGCCUCCAUCCAGAUCAACAUUGCUGAGGUGGACAGGGUUACAGGCAGGUUCAAUGGACAGUUCAAGACCUAUGCCAUCUGUGGCGCCAUCCGUAGAAUGGGUGAAGCUGAUGACUCCCUCCUGAGGCUCGCAAAGACCGACAGCAUUGUGGCCAAGUAA